CUCUCAUUCCCCUCCACCGAAUCCCUAGCUCUCCUCCGACGAUGUGCGCUGCCGCCUCCCUCCGACGGACGCGCGUCACCACCUUCUCUCCCUCUCGCACGUGUCGCCUGCUCCAAAGAUUUCUUUACCGAGGUUGAGGAGGAGCAGGCGGAGCGCGGGCAGGGCGGGCUUCUCCAACUCGACAACGGCUGCAACGAACGCCGGCGCUCCUCGUCGCCCUCGACCUGCAAGGAGGAGCGCCCGUACUGGAGGCUGCCGUCCCCGACGGGCUCUCUUCGACGGAGCCCCCCUCCAUCUCGACGGCACCCGAGAGCGAGCCCGCACCCUACCCAGUCGACUACCACGCUCUACGCUCGACGGCAAGACCCACAAGAUGGGAGUAGGAUGCAUGUUGCGAAGGGAAGAACCGUGGGAUAUGGACGACGAAGCAGCUCGUGAAGAUGCGGCUGCUACGUCUGCACUGAUUAGUUGCAGAUGAGAAGGUGCUGCUAGGCGAGGAGUGCUCCGGGCAGCAAGGAGUGCCUGGACCAGCAGCGCCUCUAGGCGGCAAGGAGUGCCUAGGCCAGCGCGGCGAGGACGAGCGUCAGCAGCGGUGGCCUCCACCUGGGCGCCUGGCCAAGGAGGAGUGCCUGGGUGCGGCAAGCAGUGCCUAGGCAAUAGUGAGGCGCGAGUUGCUGGGCGAGGCACGAGGUGCUGCCGACGGCGAGGUUAAAAUUCAAAUUGAUCUGGGAGCUGGACAAUGGUGAGGGCAGAAUUGUAGUUUUACAGAGAUUUGGGAGCUGUCGGAAAUAUAAAAAUGUCUUAUAUUUUGUUAUAGAGGGAGUUGUAUGUAGAUUUUUCCUGUUAAAUUCUAAGGACGUUUACUCUCUGAGCUAAAAAUUUGCUGGAGUUGGGUCAUACACUCACCAUAUGAACAUAUAUCUUCAAGCUGAACCGCCUAAUUUAGUGAUUA